GCUUGCUCGGUCUGAUUAGUGGCGAACGGGUGAGUAACACGUGAGUAACCUGCCCCCCACUUCGGGAUAACUUCGAGAAAUCGUGGCUAAUACCGGAUAUGAACUUCCGCCGCAUGGUGGUUGUUGGAAAGUUUUUCGGUGGGGGAUGGACUCGCGGCCUAUCAGUUUGUUGGUGAGGUAAUGGCUCACCAAGACGAUGACGGGUAGCCGGCCUGAGAGGGCGACCGGCCACACUGGGACUGAGACACGGCCCAGACUCCUACGGGAGGCAGCAGUGGGGAAUAUUGCACAAUGGGCGAAAGCCUGAUGCAGCGACGCCGCGUGAGGGAUGACGGCCUUCGGGUUGUAAACCUCUUUCAGUAGGGAAGAAGCGAGAGUGACGGUACCUGCAGAAGAAGCGCCGGCUAACUACGUGCCAGCAGCCGCGGUAAUACGUAGGGCGCAAGCGUUGUCCGGAAUUAUUGGGCGUAAAGAGCUUGUAGGUGGCUUGUCGCGUCUGCCGUGAAAACCCGAGGCUCAACCUCGGGCGUGCGGUGGGUACGGGCAGGCUAGAGUGUGGUAGGGGAGACUGGAACUCCUGGUGUAGCGGUGAAAUGCGCAGAUAUCAGGAAGAACACCGAUGGCGAAGGCAGGUCUCUGGGCCAUUACUGACACU
rnacentral:rRNA from 1 species